UAUUGGGCAAUGGGCGCAAGCCUGACCCAGCAACGCCGCGUGAAGGAAGAAGGCUUUCGGGUUGUAAACUUCUUUUAAGAGGGAAGAGAAGAAGACGGUACCUCUUGAAUAAGCCACGGCUAACUACGUGCCAGCAGCCGCGGUAAUACGUAGGUGGCAAGCGUUGUCCGGAUUUACUGGGUGUAAAGGGCGUGCAGCCGGGCUGACAAGUCAGAUGUGAAAUGCAUAGGCUUAACCUGUGAACUGCAUUUGAAACUGUCAGUCUUGAGUACCGGAGAGGUCAUCGGAAUUCCUUGUGUAGCGGUGAAAUGCGUAGAUAUAAGGAAGAACACCAGUGGCGAAGGCGGAUGACUGGACGGCAACUGACGGUGAGGCGCGAAAGCGUGGGGAGCAAACAGGA
rnacentral:rRNA from 1 species